GCCACAUGAAUUUGAAUUUUUACCCGGAACAACAUAAAAUUCUGCAAGUUAUCGACAGAGGGCAAAGUGUUUUAUUUUUUUAAGUGAAGAAGGGGGAUAGAGCAAUCAAAUUAUUAUCUGGUCGUCUGAUGCCAUUUAACUUUUUGUAUGAUGAAAAGCAACAUCCUCGGGGACCCAGGGCGUCGCGGAGAUCGGGCACACAGGGAGCGCGGCGCGAGAAAGAAACGGUCCGUAGAAACAUUUCAAAAUAAGCCCCGAUCCAUGCACUUGUCGCAUGCCCGGGUGUGUGUCGGCGGCGAGAUAAGUUCAAAGAGAAAGUGAGCUGUCAAUCAAUCAUGUCUCAUACCAACAUCUCAACAUUGGCCGUAACUAGGCAGGUUUUCAAACAAUGGAAUCGAGCAUUGUUUCACUCCUUUCUUCUUCUUUUUUUAGAACCUAAAUACGAAGUUAGGUCCGGAGAGGGCUCGGGCUAGUCACGAACACUCAAGAGGCUAUGGUUACUCAGUACUGUUCAAAUGUUUCGAGACUUGAAAACAACGAUCGCGUGGGUUUUUAGACAAGAGAAUAGAAAUAUAACAAGAGGCAACUAAAAGGAUUUCGCUAACUCAGAAGCCAGGAGACAUUUUGGAUUAUAAGAAUUCGCUGACAAAGUAUCCUAAUUCCCGUGGUAGAAUGAUCGGCCAUGUUUACCACAAACUACUAGUCACAAGCUCAAGAUGCUCGCGAGGGAAUUUAUUUUACCCGAAAAGUCACUUGACUUGUAAGUGCAAUUCGCCUGUCACAUUGCACAAGGAGCCCGCAGUUGAUGGUUAUGGAUUGCUGUAGCCUUGCCACUUUUAAAAGGCGAAAAGGCGAACUCAAUGAAAUAUAAUAAAACAGUGCCCCAACUGCUACGGUAAACGUCACUCAAAUUGACGGAUAACGAAAAAAAAAAAUCGAAAAUCUCACCUUUCUUGCCAAGGCAUGGAUUGAAUUGAUGACCUAAAAAAGAAAAAAAAGCUUUAUUAAAUACUAAAAGGAAACGCAUGAAAAUAUUGCGCGAGCAUAAACAGCUGUGUGUGUACAUCUUAAUUUCGGGGAUCAUUUCCUAGCUGGCAACGCCAAUGAUUUCGACAAGUCGUUUCAUAACAUUUACCUGUGGUGUCUGAUGAGUCGUUCCAUCGUAUUAUUUACAUGUGUUGUCUGAUGAGUCAUUCCAUCGUAUUAUUUACCUGUAGUGUCUGAUGAGUCAUUCCAUCGUAUUAUUUACCUGUAGUGUCUGAUGAGUCGUUCCAUCAUAUCAUUUUCGUGUAGUGUCUGAUGAGUCGUUCUAUAAUAUCAUUUACCUGUUGUGUUUGAUGAGUCGUCGUUCCAUCAUAUCAUUUAUAUGUGGUGUCUGAUGAGUCGUUCCAUCAUAUCAUUUACCUGUGGUGUCUGAUGAGUCGUUCCAUCAUUUCAUUUACCUGUGGUGUCUGAUAAGUCAUUUCAUCAUAUUAUUUACCUGUGGUGUCCGAUGAGUCGUUCCAUCAUAUCAUUUACCUGUGGUGUCUGAUGAGUCGUUUCAUCAUAUCAUUUACCUGUUGAAUAUUUUGCUUCUCAUAGAGAUCUACGGUCUGGAAAAGGUCGCUUUUCGCCACUCCAAAGGUGCCACAGAAGUCUAGAAAUUUCGCGAUGUUUUCCAUCUGUGAAUGAAAUAAAGAUCAAUAAAAUUAAUAAUUAAAA